CCUACGGGUGGCAGCAGUGGGGGAUAUUGCACAAUGGGGGGAACCCUGAUGCAGCGACGCCGCGUGGGUGAAGGAGCGUUUCGGCGCGUAAAGCCCUAUCGGCAGGGAAGAAGGAGGACGGUACCUGACUAAGAAGCCCCGGCGAACUACGUGCCAGCAGCCGCGGUAAGACGUAGGGGGCAAGCGUUAUCCGGAUUUACUGGGUGUAAAGGGGGCGCAGACGGCAGCGCAAGCCAGGAGUGAAAGCCCGGGGCCCAACCCCGGUACUGCGCUGGGAACUGGGCGGCUGGAGUGCAGGUGGGGCAGGCGGAAUUCGUGGUGUAGCGGUGAAAUGCGUAGAUAUCAGGAGGAACACCGGUGGCGAAGGCGGCCUGCUGGAGUGCGACUGACGUUGAGGCUCGAAGGCGUGGGGAGCGAACAGGAUUAGAUACCCGAGUAGUC
rnacentral:rRNA from 1 species